rnacentral:misc_RNA from 1 species
AACGCACCUUGCGCUCCCUAGUAUUCUGGGGAGCAUGUCUGUUUGAGUGUCAUGAACUUUCUUCAAACCCAAAAUCUCGCUCUGCGUGGGAUUCUGGUGUCUUGGAUUUUGAACGUUUGCUGGUCCCCGUCGGCGUUAGCUCGUUCGUAAUACAUUAGCAUCUCGGAUUCGAAUUCGGAUUGACUCAGUGUAAUAGACUAUUUCGCUGGGGAACACUUUUUCGCAUUUUUGGAUGUGAGAAUGUGGGCCGAAUUGAAUGAAUCGUCGUUUUUAGAAGCUUCCAAUUCUCUCUUAAAUCUUGUUUCAAGAAUCGAGACCUCAAAUCAGGCAGGAUUACCCGCUGAACUUAA